CGGGGUGUAGCACAGUUGGCUAGUGCGCCUGCUUUGGGAGCAGGAGGUCGAAGGUUCGAGUCCUUUCACCCCGA
rnacentral:tRNA from 1 species